rnacentral:rRNA from 1 species
UACGUAGGUGGCAAGCGUUGUCCGGAUUUACUGGGCGUAAAGGGCUCGUAGGUGGCCAACUAAGUCAGACGUGAAAUCCCUCGGCUUAACCGGGGAACUGCGUCUGAUACUGGAUGGCUUGAGUGUGGGAGAGGGAUGCGGAAUUCCAGGUGUAGCGGUGAAAUGCGCAGAUAUCAGGAGGAACACCGGUGGCGAAGGCGGUUCUCUGGGCAUGUCCUGACGCUGAGGAGCGAAAGUGUGGGGAGCGAACAGG